rnacentral:lncRNA from 1 species
GGGUUCACAUAGAUGUAGUACUCUGUCACUAUCAGCUAGCUCAAAGUAUGUACGACUAUAGGACAAUGCAGGUUCACAUAGAUGUAGUUAUCUGUCACUAUCAGCUAGCUCUAAUUGAAUUUUUUUGGAGCAGUUCCAUUUGCAAAUAGACCAGCUACAAGGGCACACACAUACGCACACGCGCACCCUAAUUGAGAUAUCAUAUUACAAUGGUAACAAAUAUGUUAGUAUUUCUUACAUGCUGGCAGCUUAAGCAAGCACCUUGCGCUAUUAACUUCAGCUAGAUGUAGUAAUCUGUCACAAGAGCGUGACCAGUUCAGACCACCAUAUAAAAGAGCGGUACCAGCAGCAGACUUCAGAGGAAAGUUGAUUUUAUCCCUAAAUAAGAUGCUCCAUUUGACAUGCUCUAAAUGGACUAAUGAAAUAAUCUAGAACACCUCUGCAACUCUGGGGAUUUUGUAAUUAACUGCAUAUUGUACAAGGUGUCAAAUAUGUGAUUUAAGUAAAAUAUAGAGCAAUGGAAGUACAAGUGAUACGCCUGAAUAAAGCAUAACCUACAAGAAUCACAAGGGCUAAAAAUUCAGAAUGCAGAAAAUCUACAUAUGCCAAGAAGGUCACUCACCAAUAACCAUGUGUACUUCCAUACUGCGUAAACAGGGGAUAAAAAUUGUUUGAUCUGCAGUUAAUCACCUAAGCAUUGGGUUAACACAGUGGUGCUACUUUUCUUUUCCGUCCAAAACAGAACCAUCAUGUCUUGAGUUUCCUGAAAAACAGUAGACAUGCAUAUGAAUCCUAGUACUAAUUAACAACUAAUAAAAGAUGUCGAUCAAGCUUCAGAAACUUAGCGGCUGCAUAUUGAGUUCCAUCAUUGUUUUCCUCGAAACCACAAUCCAUAACACCUGCAUAUAUCUCACCUGGAGUAUUAUUAAAUACCCGUCUUCUUGCCCUCGAGUAUAUAUCACCUGCAAAAUAGGACAUGUGCUACUUAGAAAGAUUCUGUUUUUUAUCUGACAAAGCACUGAAUCAAAUAAUUCCUUUGCCCAUGAGUCUAGGUUUCUAAAAAUUUACUGAGAAGGUCAAAAAAAGUGCAGCAUUUGUAGGACAUGCCAACACAGAAAAGUAAACAUGUAACAGAAGUGGGAAGGAGGGAACAAGGAUGAUGGUAUUUAUAUGGAGGUUAUGGAGCUGAAUUUCUCCCUCUGACGUCCGGUUAUGGGAUAACCAAUCUGCGGCAAGUUGAAAGAGGGGCCUCUGUUCCGCCGUUUGUUGGGAAAAUUUGCUCUUAUGUAAGAACGCAGUUAGAUUAGAAGUUGUGAACACAACUUGCCGCAGAGCUUAAUCCAUGAUUUGCCGUAGAAAAAAAUACAUAGCCUAGCAUAGGUGUUCUAGAGUACAUAACCUACCAGAAAAAAUAUCUGGAGGCAGAGGAGAAAGGAUCAGACAUUAGCGAAGAAAAGGGGCUAACCUUAGAAUCAUGUUUUUUCAGUGGAAGUUUAUCUCAUGAUUCAUACUCAUCAUCCUGUGUCCCCUCCCUGGUUCGCCACUUCUGAU